GCCAACGAGUACUCGUGGCCUGUUAAGCCAUCGAACUCCUCGACCGAAAGGUUGUUUGGGUAAACUCUGAAACUUUGUCGUGCUGGGGAUUGAACCCUGUAUAACGGGGUUAUGAACGAGGAAUUCCUAGUAAGCGUGGUUCAUCAUACCGCGUUGAUUAAGUCCCUGCCCUUUGUACACACCGCCCGUCGCUACUACCGAUUGAACGGCUUAGUGAGGUCUUUGGACUUUUCGUUCCGCCUCGUGUGGAGCGAGAGGGAAGAUUAUCAAACUUGGUCGUUUAGAGGAAGUAAAAGUCGUAACAAGGUAUCCGUAGGUGAACCUGCGGAUGGAUCAUUCAAGUAG
rnacentral:rRNA from 1 species